rnacentral:rRNA from 1 species
AGUGAACGCUGGCGGUAGGCCUAACACAUGCAAGUCGAACGGUAGCACAGAGGAGCUUUCUCCUUGGGUGACGAGUGGCGGACGGGUGAGGAAUACAUCGGAAUCUACUUUUUCGUGGGGGAUAACGUAGGGAAACUUACGCUAAUACCGCAUACGACCUACGGGUGAAAGCCGGGGACCUUUUAGGCCUGGCGCGGAUAAAUGAGCCGAUGUCCGAUUAGCUUGUUGGCGGGGUAAAAGCCCACCAAGGCGACGAUCGGUAGCUGGUCUGAGAGGAUGAUCAGCCACACUGGAACUGAGACACGGUCCAGACUCCUACGGGAGGCAGCAGUGGGGAAUAUUGGACAAUGGGCGAAAGCCUGAUCCAGCCAUACCGCGUGGGUGAAGAAGGCCUUCGGGUUGUAAAGCCCUUUUGUUGGGAAAGAAAAGCAGCCGGUUAAUACCCGGUUGUUCUGACGGUACCCAAAGAAUAAGCACCGGCUAACUUCGUGCCAGCCGCCGCGGUAA